rnacentral:lncRNA from 1 species
GAGCCGUUUGUUGAGUGUAUUUGAACAAUUUUAGUAGCUUGGUUGGUUUAAAUGGAUUAUGGGUGGUUGAUACUGCUUUUUCUGAGUUUGUGAGCCUCUGAUCUGUUAUGGUGUGCUGCUGAACUACUGCUGACCUCUCCCUUCUCCUUUGUUUCAUUGUAAUUUCAGGUACACACCUUUGAAUUUGCCAUGAUGUAGCUUUGAAUUGGAGUGGAAUGACAAGCAUGCAUCAGAUUUGUUUUCAUUUGGGAUUCUAUUGUCUUUAUAAU